GCGAUUGAUUCGACUGGCGAUUCAGGUGCAAAACUGGUGAGGGAGAGGAAAGUCCGAACACCCCAUUGAUGCUUCGCAUCGGUGGAAGGAGGUAGUGGCUAAUGGCCACCAUAUCCGGCACCUACUUUGCAUCGAAGUUACAGCGGAGAUUCCAGCAAUUCUGCGGAACGCGAUUGAAUGACUCGAAUAUCUUAGAUGCGAAGUAGGUGCCGGAAAACGGGAUAGUGCCACAGAGACAAUACGGCCGAUCGUCCUGCAUCUUUCUCCUUAUUUAGGAGGCAGGGAACGUGGCAUGCUUUGGUCUAAAGCCGAAGCAAAACUCGCUUCCUAACAAAAGCUGUAGGGAGGAGGCAACGGUGAAAAGAGUGGGGUAAGAGCCCACAGCUCCGGCGGGCGACCGUCGGGGUGAGGAAAACACCUACCCGGUGCAAGAGAAGCCCUGGCAUGCGUCGGGGCACACUCGCUCGAGGCCGCGGAGCAAUCCCGGUCCCAGACAGAUGUUCGUCGCUGCGGCCCAAGCGCCGCAGGCACAGAAUUCGGCUUAUCGGACAGAGCGCACUC
rnacentral:RNase_P_RNA from 1 species